rnacentral:rRNA from 1 species
GCCAGCAGCCAUAUCGCCCUGCAACUCACAUCUGGCAAUCCAAUGAAGAUAAGCAGUUGUGAGCCUAGCCAGUACCUGGAUGGGAGACCUCCUGGGAAAGCUAAGUUUGCUGCUGGAA